rnacentral:rRNA from 1 species
GACGAACGCUGGCGGCGUGCCUAAUACAUGCAAGUAGAACGCACAGUUUAUACCGUAGCUUGCUACACCAUAGACUGUGAGUUGCGAACGGGUGAGUAACGCGUAGGUAACCUGCCUGGUAGCGGGGGAUAACUAUUGGAAACGAUAGCUAAUACCGCAUAAUAUUAAUUAUUGCAUGAUAAUUAAUUGAAAGGUGCAAUUGCACCACUACCAGAUGGACCUGCGUUGUAUUAGCUAGUAGGUGAGGUAACGGCUCACCAAGGCAACGAUACAUAGCCGACCUGAGAGGGUGAUCGCCCACACUGGAACUGAGACACGGCCAAGACUCCUACGGGAGGAAGCAGUAGGGAAUCUUCGGCAAUGGCCGAAAGCUUGACGGAGCAACGCCGCGUGAGUGAGGAAGGUUUUCGGAUCUUAAAGCCCUGUUUUAAGGGAAGAACGGAUGUGGAAUUGAAAGUUCACACCUUGACGGUAACUUAACAGAAAGGGACGGCUAACUACGUG